UACGUAGGGGCCGAGCGUUGUCCGGAGUUAUUGGGCGUAAAGCGCGCGCAGGCGGCCUCGCGCGCCCGACGUGAAAGCCCCCGGCUUAACCGGGGAGGGUCGUUGGGGACGGCGGGGCUUGAGGGCGGGAGAGGUCGGUGGAAUUCCCGGUGUAGUGGUGAAAUGCGUAGAUAUCUGGAGGAAUACCGGUGGCGAAGGCGGCAUCCUGGACCGACAUUGACGCUGAGGAGCGAAAGCUAGGGGAGCAAACGGG
rnacentral:rRNA from 1 species